UACGUAGGCAGCGAGCGUUGUUCGGAAUUACUGGGCGUAAAGAGUGUGUAGGCGGUGCUCCCAGUCUGUUGUGAAAUCUCCCGGCUUAACUGGGAGGGUGCAGCGGAAACUAGAGUGCUAGAGGAUGGGAGAGGUAAGCGGAAUUCCUGGUGUAGCGGUGAAAUGCGUAGAUAUCAGGAGGAACACCUGUGGUGUAGACAGCUUACUGGACCACUUCUGACGCUGAGACACGAAAGCGUGGGUAGCAAACAGG
rnacentral:rRNA from 1 species